ACAUCCGUUCAUCGAUAGACUACAAACAUCCAUCCAUCUAAACUUUCACAUAUAUUAGCAAGAUUAUUUGUAUUUACUGCAGUGGAAACUGAUUAUUAUAACCCUACUGUUAUCAUUUAGACGACUGACCUUGUGUCAGAGCGAUACAAAAUAUAUUAUUACAUAUAAACAUAUAGUUUUAUUAAAUCGCAGUAUAGCUGUGAAGCUGCAGUGAAAAGGUUCUUUGUGUUACGCUUUUUUAUUGUUCUGUUCAAUAAAAUGUAUUUUGAACUACCAGAGAUAAAAAGAUGUUGUUUUUGUAUCCCUUUAAGAUAUGGAUUACUUGCUUGGGCGUAUUUUAAAAUGGCGUGGUGUUUAUUUUUAGCUACAUUAAUCUGUAUUCGAAUAUUAAAGACAAGUGAGGGCAAUUAUUAUCCAGUUCAAUUGAUAAUACCGUCUCUAUAUUGUACAAGUCUCGUUAUUGAGUUUAUCAUCACCAUAGUGUUUAUCAUCGGAGCUCAUAAGAAAAACCCGAAACUACUAAGGGUGUACUACAUCUAUGGAAUGAUAAUUCUUGGAAUAAUUUUCCUACUGUGUCUGGUAGUUUUGGGCAUUGCGAUUUACGAGUAUUUUACUUACAUGAAAUUCACGUUUAUAAUACAAAAUAUUUACGAGACAUCGAUAUUUGGAACUGGAGUAAUAUUGUUCAAUAUCUACUUAUUGUCGUUAGUACGAAGCGAGAUUUUAAAGCUAGAAAACAACACACAGUUUUGUUUCCAAAACAUUCAAGACGAGCCAACGUGCACAAUGGAAAAGGUGGAUGUUUAAAAAAAUGACAUAAGAUGUAACUACAUACUGCGUUGGCGCAGCCCAAAAUGGGUCCUAAUAAAGUGGGUCUAUAACGGAUGUAAAUAAGUAAACUUUUUAUAUAAUAAUUAUUUUUUUAAAAGGAAAUAUUACUUAACAUAGAUUUU